GUCGCCUACAGGAAGACGCGGUUUCCUCAGCUUUCGGAAAAGAUGGGACAAAGCGGGAUUCCUGUCGGCGACCUC
ensembl:miRNA